rnacentral:rRNA from 1 species
UACGGAGGGUGCGAGCGUUGUCCGGAAUCACUGGGCGUAAAGGGCGCGUAGGCGGCCUGAUAAGUAGGGGGUGAAAUCCUGCGGCUUAACCGCAGGGCUGCCUUCUAAACUGUCAGGCUAGAGCACAGUAGAGGCAGGUGGAAUUCCCGGUGUAGCGGUGGAAUGCGUAGAGAUCGGGAAGAACAUCAGUGGCGAAGGCGGCCUGCUGGGCUGUUGCUGACGCU